rnacentral:ncRNA from 1 species
UCUUAUCCAGAGAGGUGUAGGGGCAGGCCUGAUGAUACCUCGGCAACCAUCCAAUAGGAAAGGUGCCAAUUCCUGCAGAGCAAUUAGUUUUUUGCUCUGGCAGAUGAGA